rnacentral:rRNA from 1 species
GCUCCAAUAGCGUAUAUUAAAGUUGUUGCAGUUAAAAAGCUCGUAGUUGAAUGUUGGGGUCGUAUGAGCGAUCGGCUUCGGUCGAAUUGCUCCUCCGGCUCCUUCCUUCUGUGGACUGCGUCACUCUUCACUGAGGGGCGCCAGGACGCAGAUCGUUUACUGUGAAAAAAUAGAGUGUUUAAAGCAGGCUUAUGCCAUUG